AGGCACUUGUAUUUCAAGUGUGUUACUUUGCUGAAGGAUAUUUGUGACCAGCUAUCCAGGCCGGACUCUAAAGACUUUCCAAGGUGUAAAAAUGCUGCUGCCGGAGUACUGACUGGAAGUAUUGCUGAUAUCAAGUCUG